rnacentral:rRNA from 1 species
GGGGAAUAUUGGACAAUGGGGGCAACCCUGAUCCAGCCAUGCCGCGUGUGUGAAGAAGGCCUUUUGGUUGUAAAGCACUUUAAGCAGUGAAGAAGACUCCAUGGUUAAUACCCAUGGACGAUGACAUUAGCUGCAGAAUAAGCACCGGCUAACUCUGUGCCAGCAGCCGCGGUAAUACAGAGGGUGCAAGCGUUAAUCGGAAUUACUGGGCGUAAAGCGAGCGUAGGUGGCUUGAUAAGUCAGAUGUGAAAUCCCCGGGCUUAACCUGGGAACUGCAUCUGAUACUGUUAGGCUAGAAUAGGUGAGAGGAAGGUAGAAUUCCAGGUGUAGCGGUGAAAUGCGUAGAGAUCUGGAGGAAUACCGAUGACGAAGGCAGCCUUCUGGCAUCAUAUUGACACUGAGGUUCGAAAGCGUGGGUAGCAAAC